UUCAAUCACCCACUUCCCACACGCAACAAUAGCUCAUGGGUACCACAGAUAACUUUGCCAAAGUUCUCUGCCAAAGUUGAGCACGUGAAGCUUGCAGCUCCCACUACAUCGCUCUGACCAAGAAGGGUAAAAGAAUAGCAAAGAAACAGCACUAACAAAGUUUAGACCCAUAAAUUUUGAAGGUAUAGCUACCAUAUUAUUACCCACAAGGGUAAAGGAACAGUACCACUGCUGGAUAAUUGGAAAGUCCAUGUAUGUCAACCUCUGUGCUUCGUGGCAAGGUAGACUAGCAAACAUGCCCAACCUUUACUCACAUUCGAGAAAACACUCCCAAUAAGAUUGCUUGCUCCAAAAUCGAAGAGGCACCGUCCUCCGAAUCUAAAGAGCCAGACUCCCAACAUGACUACUUUCUUAAAAAUCGAAGAGAGGGUAAAGGAACAGUACCAUUGCUGGAUAAUUGGAAAGUCCCUGUGUGUCAACCUCUGUGCUUCGUGGCAAGGUAGACUAGCAAACAUGCCCAACCUUUACUCACAUUCGAGAAAACACUCCCAACAAGAUUGCUUGCUCCAAAAUCGAAGAGGCACCGCCCUCCGAAUCUCGAGAGCCAGACUCUCCCAACAUGAUUACUUUCUCAAAAAUCGAAGAGACACUGCUCCCCGAAUCUCGAGAGCCAGACCCCCAGCAUGAUUGCUUUCUCAAAAAUCGAUGAGGCAUCGUUCUCCGAAUCAAUCGAAGAGGCGCUCGCUUUCUCAAAAGCUGGGCUGCUCAGAGACCACGAGGGCCGAUCUCAGAAAUCGAAGAGGCACCUACUUUUCUAGCCUUGUCAGCACCUGUCACACGCACACUCAGCUUUGCAGAAAUUAUGGGCAUUCUGUCGAAGACUUCUGGUGAAGUAGAAAGCACAUGAAUCUUACUGUUCAAUCACCCACUUCCCACACGCAACAAUAGCUCAUGGGUACCACAGAUAACUUUGCCAAAGUUCUCUGCCAAAGUUGAGCACGUGAAGCUUGCAGCUCCCACUACAUCGCUCUGACCAAGAAAGGUAAAAGAAUAGCAAAGAAACAGCACUAACAAAGUUUAGACACAUAAAUUUUGAAGGUCUAGCUACCAUAUUAUUACCCACAAGGGUAAAGGAACAGUACCACUGCUGGAUAAUUGGAAAGUCCCUGUGUGUCAA
rnacentral:lncRNA from 1 species